GAUGAACGCUGGCGGCGUGCCUAAUACAUGCAAGUCGAGCGAAUGGAUUAAGAGCUUGCUCUUAUGAAGUUAGCGGCGGACGGGUGAGUAACACGUGGGUAACCUGCCCAUAAGACUGGGAUAACUCCGGGAAACCGGGGCUAAUACCGGAUAACAUUUUGAACCGCAUGGUUCGAAAUUGAAAGGCGGCUUCGGCUGUCACUUAUGGAUGGACCCGCGUCGCAUUAGCUAGUUGGUGAGGUAACGGCUCACCAAGGCAACGAUGCGUAGCCGACCUGAGAGGGUGAUCGGCCACACUGGGCAUGAGACACGGCCCAGACUCAUACGGGAGGCAGCAGGAGGGAAUCUUCCGCAAUGGACGAAAGUCUGACGGAGCAACGCCGCGUGAGUGAUGAAGGCUUUCGGGUCGUAAAACUCUGUUGUUAGGGAAGAACAAGUGCUAGUUGAAUAAGCUGGCACCUUGACGGUACCUAACCAGAAAGCCACGGCUAACUACGUGCCAGCCGCCGCCGUAA
rnacentral:rRNA from 1 species